GAGAAAGCCAUCCAUCCAGCUGGGCAGCAGGGCGAGCCGGGUGCCGAGAGGGAGUCGCUGAAUGCCUGCGAGAGAGUCGUGACCAGGAAAAGCAGCGUUAAACCAGUGCUUCUUUACACCUGUUGCGCCCCUGGUCAUCUGGUCUUACCCCUUCCUCCGGCGGAUCCAGAACCUCCAGCUGAGCUAGCAGGAUUGUGCGGUUUGAUGCAAUGAAGCCCGCACACUUGGGAAGGAGGCCUCACAGACAUGCACCCCUGCCCCGGGGAGACGCUGUCCUAAGCACCCAGUGGGAGCAUAGUGGCUAUCUGGUGACAAUAUCUCAGAGUGGGUUAUCUGGGGAGGGAAGGACCUCACGUGGGUGUGGACCAGGAGGGAACCAAGGUUGAGUGUGCAGAGGCAAGCUUUGCCAAGUGGGUAUUGCCCUGACUUUACUGCAUGAGUGUUCCCUAUAUGCGGUCACGCAUUUGCUGGAAUAAAAGAGAAAACCAGUAUCGCUUAAACUCACAUGGCUCCUUUAUAUACUUUUUAAGGCCUUUUGCAGCUGGAUUAAAUUUGUUACUCAUGGCAACUCUUUGAGGUAGGCAGGCAGUAAGUAUUUUUCUCAUUUCAGGAAGAGAUGACAGCCAGAGGGAUUAAGGAUUUACUCUGCAUCCUUCCUGGGCUGACCCUUUCCACUCUGCAGCCUGCCUUUGAUUUCAUCUAAAAACAAACCAAACAAGCAAAACAGAAACAAAAGCCAAAGAGACUAUUUGCUCAAUUGUCCCAAGUCUUACAAUUUUGAGAGAUGAGAAUGUUUUCUAAAGAGAUAGAUGCAACAGAACGGACUGCUUCCAGAUUAUGAUGCAGUCUGAGGAGUGCCGAAGGCUGUUUGUGGGGGAAGUGGCCCUUCUUUGAUUGCAUUAGUGACACCUGAACUCGCCUCCCCUUCAACUUCCUACUCCAGGGGAAACACAAGUCCCCUCCCCACAGCUCUAUAAAGGGAGCCAGAACAUCCUUGGGGCCAGGGGUCUGUGGUCAGGGCCAGACCAGUGGCCUACGGGAUCCCUCUCCUGCAGGGGUUGGAAACCCGGAAGGAAGAGGGAAAGAGGGCCUCUGGCAGCCAGGAUUGAAGAAUGUGGAUAUCCAGAAGCCUCCAGCAAGCUGGAGGUGUGCACAUCACCCAGGCCCUGACUGUUUCUCAGCACACAUGGCCCUCAGGCUGCACGUCUGCCUAUAGCCGGCUGUCUCAUCUCCCGAGAAUGAAGAAUCCGGCGGCCGAGUUGCCCAAAGAAGCACCCAGAACCAAGGUGCGCUCCCCCACCCCCCACCGGGAGCCCCGGCUACUGAAGACCAGCCCGGAUCACGAGAGUGAGGGGACGCCUUGGAGCCUUUGUCCUGAAAGGGAGACCAUAAAGAUCCCUUUGGAUUGUAACAGUCUGAAAACUUCUGCCCCCGGGAGGCUUGAAGUAGAGAGCUUCGUUUUAUUACUUUUAUUCUAUACAUAUUAUUUUCACUUUCAAUACGUACAUAUAUCAUCUGAAGAAUUUAAGCAGUCACAUGUUUACAGGACUUCCAAAGAAAUCACAACACAGUAGCCUUCUGGCCUGUUCUUUUUUU